AUAAUGGGUCAGCGACUUAUAUUCUGUAGCAAGGUUAACCGAAUAGGGGAGCCGAAGGGAAACCGAGUCUUAACUGGGCGUUAAGUUGCAGGGUAUAGACCCGAAACCCGGUGAUCUAGCCAUGGGCAGGUUGAAGGUUGGGUAACACUAACUGGAGGACCGAACCGACUAAUGUUGAAAAAUUAGCGGAUGACUUGUGGCUGGGGGUGAAAGGCCAAUCAAACCGGGAGAUAGCUGGUUCUCCCCGAAAGCUAUUUAGGUAGCGCCUCGUGAAUUCAUCUCCGGGGGUAGAGCACUGUUUCGGCAAGGGGGUCAUCCCGACUUACCAACCCGAUGCAAACUGCGAAUACCGGAGAAUGUUAUCACGGGAGACACACGGCGGGUGCUAACGUCCGUCGUGAAGAGGGAAACAACCCAGACCGCCAGCUAAGGUCCCAAAGUCAUGGUUAAGUGGGAAACGAUGUGGGAAGGCCCAGACAGCCAGGAUGUUGGCUUAGAAGCAGCCAUCAUUUAAAGAAAGCGUAAUAGCUCACUGGUCGAGUCGGCCUGCGCGGAAGAUGUAACGGGGCUAAACCAUGCACCGAAGCUGCGGCAGCGACGCUUAUGCGUUGUUGGGUAGGGGAGCGUUCUGUAAGCCUGCGAAGGUGUGCUGUGAGGCAUGCUGGAGGUAU
rnacentral:rRNA from 1 species